CUUUACCUUAAUAUUCGUGUUAUUAUUUUGCUUGGCUGCUAUGUUAAAGCGGCGCUGAGGCCACGUGUGCGGGCAGCAUUUACGUUUGGGCCUUCCGGGCUGAAUUGGAGAAGAUUGUAUCGAUUCGAGGCGUGUAGGAGAAAUGUACAGCUACAGUACCACGCGUCGGAUGAGUAUUUUAAUUGCUUUUUAACUCCACCGUUUUCUGUGUUGCGGUACCGCCUUGUCGAAGUGCUAUUUGGGAACUACCUGCCUCCAGUGGUAAAUACCCCCUUUUCGACAUGGCCAGACCAAACGGCGGGUUUAGCUUCCAUCGCUUUGCGCUGAGGUUAUAGUGAUGACAAUGAGGCCUGCUACACUUGUAUUACUCGUGUGUGGUCGGUUGGAGUGGAUUGAAAUGCAGUUUUCAACAGACGAUGUGAAAUAAGUCCGUCAUGACGGGUGUUGUAGGACCCAGGGUCGUCUGGACUGGAUCUUUGUUUGCCUGCUGUCCAGCUGAAGAGCAGAAUGCCUUCCUGCGAGGCCUGCUGGGAGUGUCUCCUGCAGCAGGCUGCCUGGGGGCUUUGUGUGGGAGCGAGCUGUUCAGUGACAGGGCAAAGAUGAGCGGAAGAGAGGAAGUCUUGGCACUCUGCAGCUCCAGGAUUCUCCACUUUGAGCACUGUACAGCCAUGGCCUGAUGGACUGUUCCCGAAGGUGCACCUCCCCACUGUGACCACUAGGUGGUGCUGAGGGCUACGUUAGAUUUGAGAGAACAUGCAUGCCAGAGCUGGGAAGAAUCUUCAGGGUUAAAAACGGGUGGCCAGCACAGCAUGACAGUGUUGACCCUCCAGGAAUGAUCUAUUAUCUGGGCCACCUGGGCUUGAACCAAGGAUACUUGGUUGUCGAGGGAAAUGUGGAGGCGGUCCCUGCGGCUGAAGUGAGAUCAAGACCAGCAGAUUUUUGAUGGCUGGCAAACAUCUCUUUUGGUGUUCAGAGGAACAUCCUGCUCCAGUCCAAGAGCAUCAGGGUUUUUUCGGCAUUGGGAAGGGACAGCGGUGUACAGAGUGACACGCUUGUUGCAGAAUACCUUGCUUUCCUUUACAGUUACACCAUUUCAGAUCUUUGUGUAUGUAACUGACCAUGGCUGGAUUUCUUUUAGAUCCUUGUUUUCAUUUGUCUAGUUAUUGAAAGGAAUGUCUAAUAAAGUUGUUGUUCUUAA